rnacentral:lncRNA from 1 species
GGGCGGGGCCUGCCGCCGCCACCGCCUCAGGGAAGAGGAAGGAGGCCGCGGCUUCGCGUCCCGCCUCUCGCCUGGCUGGCCGUGGGGGGCCUGGACGCAGUGGCCUCCCGAAUCUCCCAGGACCCUAAUAUCGCCCGAGGAUGCUGGGAGGAACGCUGAGCCGACCUCUCCGUUAGGCUGAAGAUUGCACAAACCAUGCUAAUGGCCAGCAUGGAUGGAGGGAGCGUGUGAGAUGUGUGGGGCAGCGUGCUGCAUCUCAGCCAACUCCAGGAGCCAGUUGAUGUGAUGGACUACCUUAAUUGAUUUUUGAAUGUUGAGCCAGCCUUAUGCAUGUGGGAUAAACCCCUGUUGAUCAUGGCUGGCUGGAGUGCAGUGGUGCAAUCAUGGCUCACUGCAACCUCAAAUUCCUGGGCUCAAGGGAUCCUCCUGCCUCAGCCUCCCAAGUAGCUAGGACUACAGGAAGCAUGCUCAUGGCAAUACCCGGAGUCUCCACUGCAAGACCAGAGUGACGGAGGCAGCAGAGCUCCUCAGCAGGCCAGGAGUCUCCAGAGGCACUGCCGAAUGUCUAAGAAGCAACCUCAUUGUAUUCCCAAGACCUGGGAAUCCAGGUCUCGCAGAUACGAUGAUACAAUCUAUAGCCAGGACAUCUCUUCAUGUGUAGUUUUCAAUGAAUACUAGGAUAAGCAACUAUCCCAGUCUUCCCAGGAUUGAGGGGCUUCUCCAGAUGCUGCACUUCUGGUGCUAAAAAUGAGAAACUGAAAUGAAUUAGUCACCCAAGGAAUGCUGACCCUGUGCUAUAUGAUCACAUUUACUCUUUAAAGCAAUGCUUUGAGAACAAUUGAGCUGCAUAGUCCCUGCAAUCUUAUAAAGGCAUUUGGCCUGGAAGAUGCUCUGCAGCCAUGUGCCAAGAAUAACGGCUAUAGGGACAAUGUUUCAUUAACCCCAAAGCAGCAACCUGAACCUCUUACUGUACAAUAUCUGCUCCGUUCAGAAUUAGCUCGACUUGAGUCACAGGAUGAAGCUUACCAAAAGGAAUUUCCACGUCCAAGGAAGGAACCAAGAUCACUGAGAGGUUAUAGUAUGAAAAGUGAAGAGAAAAAACCUAUUCUAAACAUUUUAUUAAUUGUCAAUAAUUAUUUUAAAAUAUUUAAUAUAGUCUCCUACCUGGUCCACUGGCAUCAAGCUGCCAAAUUUACACGGUCACUUUGGGAAGCCAGCUGGCAGGCAAACAUGGAAAGUGCUGGCUCCUAGCGUAGUGAGAAGACCACAGAUAGAUGGUAAUUUUCUUCUUUGUUUUAUUUUUCUUUUUCUUCUCUCCCUCUUUUUCUUCCCUCUUGCCUUUCCCUCCCAUUGCCCACUUUCUUUUUUUGGCUGCCGAAGAUUUAUUGCCUUUCAGUACUUAUAGAUGAUGUUUUCAUAAGUUCUAAUGAGGUCCCAGCAGUUUUUAACAAUAACAGGACAUUACUGUUCCUAAGAUAUAUUAUGUGUUUUCCCUCAUCUUUCUCCCUUGAAUGAAAUGCUUAGAAGUAGGCUAACCCCCAAUUCCCUUCCCUUUACUAUGAUAAAUGGCUCCAUUACUUAAUAGGGCUAAAUACUCUGCUGUGACUUUUAUACUGCUGAUUUGAAUAAAAUCUUACGAAAAGCU